GACGAACGCUGGCGGCAGGCUUAACACAUGCAAGUCGAGCGCCCCGCAAGGGGAGCGGCAGACGGGUGAGUAACGCGUGGGAAUCUACCCAUCUCUACGGAAUAACGCAUGGAAACGUGUGCUAAUACCGUAUACGUCCUUCGGGAGAAAGAUUUAUCGGAGAUGGAUGAGCCCGCGUUGGAUUAGCUAGUUGGUGGGGUAAAGGCCUACCAAGGCGACGAUCCAUAGCUGGUCUGAGAGGAGGAUCAGCCACACUGGGACUGAGACACGGCCCAGACUCCUACGGGAGGCAGCAGUGGGGAAUAUUGGACAAUGGGCGCAAGCUUGAUCCAGCCAUGCCGCGUGAGUGAUGAAGGCCCUAGGGUUGUAAAGCUCUUUCACCGGUGAAGAUAAUGACGGUAACCGGAGAAGAAGCCCCGGCUAACUUCGUGCCAGCCGCCGCGGUAAUAC
rnacentral:rRNA from 1 species